ensembl:lncRNA
GGAGUCCUCUCACGCUCACGAAGAACAACAAGGCGGGACUCAGCAUUGCCUCAUAGGGGCCUGGAGGAACAAAACGAGGGGUCCGCCAGGGGGCGACGCAACACCAACAACGCCACCAAAACUAGUAAUCCUCGAAUUCUUCAUCAUCCCGGAGCGGUACUUCCAUAUUUGAAUGACACAAUCCAGGGUUUCUCUGCCAUUCGGUGGUCGAAUGAGUAAACCAUUGAGCUAGUUAAUAUUAUUGGGUUAUUUAAUCAGGAGUCAUGAUUCUAAGCAGCAGAUCUCUAGAGAGAGUCUUCUCCUUUGUCCUGCUGGCCCUGGUGGUCUUGUCCUGGUCCUAUGUAAUCUACGCUAGCCGGGUCGCUGCCCGCUGGCAGCUGGAGAGCCGGGACCAGGUCUCCCUGUAAUCGGUGACCGGUCCAGCGCGCACCGUCGAUACGAUCCGGAAGCCUGGGCGUGGGAUGAACCCUGGACCUGGUCAGAACCAUCCAGGACUGGAAGGAAAUCUCCGUUCCAAAUCCCUGCUUUACCACAAGAAACACUUUCAUAAACACUUUUGCAUUUGUUUUAAAUAAUACUUAUUUUGGAGAGUUAUUUGAACAAAUGCAAUAAAUAAAGGGUGAAGUGAGAGUCUGUGCUUUAUUAAUUAAUUUUUUGGAUGAAGUCGGGAUCAGGUCAGAGGUUGGUCUGAGCUUUGGUCCAGAUUUUCAAGCUUAGUUCAAAGAUGUUCGUCUCCAUGACGACUGCAUCCAAAGACCUGAGGAACUAUUUGGGACCAGGUGAACCUUAGAUCUAUUAUUUGACAGGUGUGUGUCUGUCUGUGUCCGUGUGUCUGUGUUUGUAUGUGUUAGUGAUUGAGUAACCCAGGAUGAUGGAGGGAUGUUUACACACAGUUAAUU